CUGACUCAAAAAAAGAAGUGUAAGCGUGGUACGCGAGUGGAGAAGGCUGCGGGCCAGGGUGCACUCGGAGGGCUACGGUGCUGCUAACAGUAGAUUCAAAAUCAGGGUCGAAUACCGGGCCUAAAGAGAAGAAAAGCUAGUGCUAAGCCCUCUCUACCAAAGGUAUGUUAGGGUCAGAAAGAAGGUAUACUUUACAGAGUAUGAAUACAAGGCGAGGAGGAAAGAACAGGGGGUGUUUAACAAUAAGGAAAGAAAAAUGAGCGGAACAGAGCAGGACGUGUUUCCAGAGGAAAAGUGGGAGUAAACCCCAGGUUCUACUUAGUUUAGAGGGCAGAAGGGACAGUCCAAGGGACUGAGGGGAGUGGCAAUGAACAGGAAACUACGAUGCUAAAGACGACAACUUGGGGGAGGACGCGAUACUGAUGAAUAAAGAUGUAUAGAGAAGUCACACAACUGAUAAACAAUGAAUCCAGAAGAAGCAUAGGUCUGAUGACUUGUAAAAGCAACAAGCAACCUCCUGAAAGAAUUUAUUGACUGUGACACUGCACUCCCCAAGAUGACCAGAUGAACAAAGCCAGAAGUCUGUGGAGACGCCAUGCAGCACAAAGCAAAAGGACCCCCCUGGACAGCAGCCCCCAAGGACCGCAAGAAAACUGGGCUUCGGCCCUGCAUCCUUAUGAAAUCCUGCUGACAACAGCAUGAGCUCAGAAGAUCCUGAGCUCCACAGAAAAACACUCCCGAUGCGUGGCACAGUGGCACAUGUCUGUUAGCCCAGCACUCCAGGGACUGAGGCAGAAUAAUCACAAUUUGAGUUGCCUGGGCAACUUACUAAGACAUUUUAAAAAAGAAAAGAAAAGAAAAAAGAAA